CACCUCCUAAAGGUGCAUUCCAGCCUUCGCCUGCCGGGCUCAUACCGGCAGGCGAGGGAUGUAUUCACCGCUUUAGCCCCCGCCAAU
rnacentral:sRNA from 1 species